GUUCGGUGAUGGAUCCCGCCAUGCGUGUACACUGAUCCAGAUGCUGCCUGGUCUUCAAGCCCCUGCUAGGCGUUCUGCUGUCGGGCUUGGCCACAGGGGCUUCUGGGUGUGAUCAGAACUAUCCCGAAGACU